rnacentral:tRNA from 1 species
GGCCGUAUAGCUGAGAAAGAUUAGCGCGUCCCUGAAGCGGACGAGAGCCCGGUGCAAUUCCGGUGGCGGCCACCA